GAAUAUGAAUUAACCCAUACAAUCUAGAUCUUUCCAAACCAGAAGUUUGAAAACUUCUGCCCAGAGCCAAACUCUGUGACUUAAACGAGCCACUUGAGCAAUGUUGAUUGUUGAUUGAAUGAGUCAGUCAAUCUUCUUUCUGUGAAUGAGUACACUGAGGCACAAAUGGUUCAAGGAAUGAAUUUUUUAAGAAAUAAUUAUUGCACAUUCAUUAAAGGUCAGGCACUGGAUAUGACAAGAAUAAUUCCAACAUGAACAAAGCAUAGAUGUUGGGCUCGUAAGACGCUGGGAGAGACCACCUUUGAACAUCUAUAAGCGAUAGAUAUGCUACAAAUACAGAAACGGGUACUGCUAGGACUUCCCCGGUCAAUCCAGGUUAAGACUCCUCACUCCGAAUGCAGAAGAUGCAAGUUCAAACCCUGAUUGGGGAACAAAGAUCCCACAUGCUAAUCCCACCUGCCACACAGUGUGGCCAAAAAAAAAAAAAAGAGAGAGAGAGACAGUGCUGUGGAAAAUGUAACAGAGGGAACAAAUAAAGUUUAAGAGUCUGAUUUGCAACUUAAAGUAGAAGAUAACAGAGCAAACUAGUCCAGCUGGUUCCCAAACUUCAGCAUGCCUCAGAAUCACCUGGAGGGCUUGUUAACAUGUAGAUCGCUGGGCCCCGUCUCAGCAUUUCUGACUCAGUAGAUCUGGGAUAGGGCCUGAGAACAUGAAUUUCUAGUGCUCCCCAGGUUGAGGCUGAUGCUACCCUUCUGGGGACCACAUUUUGCGUAAUAACUGAGCUAGGUGCAGAUGGGGACCAGGGGCUGGGGAAACCAUCCUCUAGUGUAUUGGGGAAGCCCUGUGUAUAAAAGAGCAGGGCAGGGAGCUGAAAUAAUGCUUUGAUUGAUCAGGGUCCCAACAGAAGUGGUGAUAUAGUUAAACAGGGUCAGUUAGGGGAGUCUAAUGAAGUGCCCUCUAACAAAAGUUUAGGUGGGGCUGAGGGAAGUGAACAAGGGAAAGGAUGCUGAAAAUGAAGGUUCGGACAAGACUGAAGUGACUUAGCAGCAGCAGCCGCAGGAAGGAGCUUGCAGCAGCCCCAUCACUCAGGGGCACCGGAAUAGAGCAGUGAAGGAACCAGGCCGAGGACUUCCCUGGUGGUCUAGAGGUUCAGACUCCACACUUCCAGGGCAGAGGCCAAGAACUCAGUCCCUGGUCCACAGGGGACUAAGAUCCCACAUUCCAUGCAGUGCUCCCAGGAAGGAAAGAAAGAAAGGAAGAAAUCAGACAGCGCUGGAACCAGAGGGGGAAAACCUCUUAACAAGGGCUGAGGUCUUCGUAGAGAAACGUGGCUAUUUGCAGCCUACCACCUGGCAGGGAGUAAGCCUCAAUUCACCCUCUCCUGCCUUCUCCUGCAUCCCAGCCUCAUUUCAGAGCCAGUCAAAACCCAGAGGGCAAGAAAGCUCGGUAGUUGCAGCCCUAGAUGUCAGCAUCCCUGAGCCCAGAGAAAGAAGAGACAGCAUGAAGAACGGAUCUGAAGGGGCAGGAGGAGAGCACGAGCCUUGGACUAGAGGAGGCUGGUGGUCAAGAGGUCAUGGAAGACCAUGGCCUGUUUCAUAUUGCUGUGCAAUGAAGCACCACAAACUUAGCAUCUUAAAAUAACACACGCUUAUCAGCUUACACUUCUGUGGGUCAGGCGGCGAAGCCUGCUGAGCUGGUUCUCUGCUUCAGGGUCUCACCAGGCUGUAACCCAGGUGUUGGCCAGGCUGCACUCUCAUCUGAAGACUUGAUUGGGGAAGGUUCUGCUCCCAAGCUCAUUCAGGGUGUUGGCAGAAUUCAGUUCCUUGGGGUUAUCGGACUGAGGUUGUCAGUUCCUGCAGGUUCCCUGCAUUUUCCUGGCAUGUGAAUCUUCCUUCUGACAUGCACAGCAUGGCUGCUUAUUCCUUCAAGGCCAGCAGGAAAACAAGAAUGACUCUAAAGAGAUGGAGUCUUAAGUAGCAUGAUGUAAACACUGGAGUGGACUUCCCAGGGGCGCUAGUGUUGAAGGACCCGCCCGCCAGUGCAGGAGACGCAAGAGACGCGGGUUCGAUCCCUGGGUGAAGGACCCGCCCGCCAGUGCAGGAGACGUGAGAGACACGGGUUCCAUCCCUGGGUGAAGGACUCGCCCGCCAGUGCAGGAGACGUAAGAGAUGCGGGUUCCAUCCCUGGGUGAAGGACUCGCCCGCCAGUGCAGGAGAUGUGAGAGACGCGGGUUCCAUCCCUGGGUGAAGGACUCGCCCGCCAGUGUAGGAGAUGCAAGGGACGCGGGUUCGAUCCCUGGGUCAGGAAGAUUCCCUGGAGGAGGGCAUGGCAGCCCACUCGAGUAUUCUUGCAUGGAGAAUCCCUUGGACAGAGGAACCUGGCGGGCUGAAGUCCAUAGGGUCACACAGAGUUGAACAGACUGAAGCGACUGAGCACACCCAUGCAAACGCUGGAGUGACAUUCCAUCAUCUUUGCCACAGUCUACUGGGUAACAGCAAGUCAGGGACUAAUUCAAGGAAGGUUACCUUAAAGUUUGUCUGCUACACCAGAGGACCAACAGAGAACGCAGGGGCUCCACUUCAGUUCACAGAGCUAGCUGCUGUCUGGGCCAGGACUCCAGCUCUUUGAGAAUGACCAUGCUCCAGCAAUAUUACAAGUGCUAUACAGAGUCGGAUGGAUGCAGGAACCUGCGAAAGUUGGUGCUGCUCAGCAGUGUAGGUGUACGCAGCGGCGCCUCUCUCCUGCCUGCCCAGCUCGGAUCCCAAAGUUAUGUCUUUUUAAUAAACUGUCUAUGUUGGUCAGAAUUCCAGUUUUACUGAGAUAUAAUUGACAUAUGGUAUUGUAUACAUUUAAGGUAUACAACAUAAUGACUCAAUG
ensembl:lncRNA